UUUUCCGCCGCCCCUUUAAAACGUAUGUCCCUCGCGUUGUUCGGAUUCACUGGGUGUAAAGGGCGCGUAGGUGGUUGUCUGUGUCUCAUGUGAAAACUCAGGGCUCAACUCUGAGAUUGCGUGGGAAACUAGGCAGCUAGAGGACGGUAGAGGGGAGUGGAAUUCCCAGUGUAGCGGUAAAAUGCGUAGAUACCGGGAGGAACACCGGUGGCGAAGGCGGCUCUCUGGGCCGAUCCUGACGCUGAGGCGCGAAAGCUAGGGUAGCGAACCGGAUUAGAUACCCGGGUAGUCCUAGCCGUAAACGAUGGGUGCUAGGUGUUGGGGGGUAAAGACCCUUCAGUGCCGAAGCUAACGCGAUAAGCAUCCCACCUGGGGAGUACGGCCGCAAGGUUGAAACUUAAAUAAAUUGACGG
rnacentral:rRNA from 1 species